rnacentral:rRNA from 1 species
UACGUAGGGGGCGAGCGUUGUCCGGAGUUACUGGGCGUAAAGGGCACGCAGGCGGUCUUUUCAGUUCGGAGUGACAGUCGUCGGCUUACCUGACGAAGGCCUCGGAAGACGGGAAGACUUGAGGGCUCACGAGGGACACGGAAUUCCGGGUGGAGUGGUGAAAUGCGUAGAUAUCCGGAGGAACACCAAAGGCGAAGGCAGUGUCCUGGGGAGUUAUUGACGCUCAGGUGCGAAAGCCAGGGGAGCGAACGGG